GACGAACGCUGGCGGCAUGCCUAAUACAUGCAAGUCGAACGCUUCUUUCCUCCCGAGUGCUUGCACUCAAUUGGAAAGAGGAGUGGCGGACGGGUGAGUAACACGUGGGUAACCUACCCAUCAGAGGGGGAUAACACUUGGAAACAGGUGCUAAUACCGCAUAACAGUUUAUGCCGCAUGGCAUAAGAGUGAAAGGCGCUUUCGGGUGUCGUUGAUGGAUGGACCCGCGGUGCAUUAGCUAGUUGGUGAGGUAACGGCUCACCAAGGCCACGAUGCAUAGCCGACCUGAGAGGGUGAUCGGCCACACUGGGACUGAGACACGGCCCAGACUCCUACGGGAGGCAGCAGUAGGGAAUCUUCGGCAAUGGACGAAAGUCUGACCGAGCAACGCCGCGUGAGUGAAGAAGGUUUUCGGAUCGUAAAACUCUGUUGUUAGAGAAGAACAAGGACGUUAGUAACUGAACGUCCCCUGACGGUAUCUAACCAGAAAGCCACGGCUAACUACGUG
rnacentral:rRNA from 1 species